UACGUAGGGUGCAAGCGUUUAAUCGGAAUUACUGGGCGUAAAGCGUGCGCAGGCGGUUUUGUAAGUCAGAUGUGAAAUCCCCCGGGCUUAACCUGGGAACUGCGUUUGAAACUACAAGGCUAGAGUGUGGCAGAGGGGGGUGGAAUUCCACGUGUAGCAGUGAAAUGCGUAGAGAUGUGGAGGAACACCGAUGGCGAAGGCAGCCCCCCUGGGUUAACACUGACGCUCAGGCACGAAAGCGUGGGGAGCAAACAGGG
rnacentral:rRNA from 1 species